rnacentral:rRNA from 1 species
AUUGAACGCUGGCGGAAUGCUUUACACAUGCAAGUCGAACGGCAGCACGGGGGCAACCUGGUGGCGAGUGGCGAACGGGUGAGUAAUACAUCGGAACGUGCCCAAUCGUGGGGGAUAACGUAGCGAAAGUUAACGCUAAUACCGCAUACGAUCUACGGAUGAAAGCGGGGGAUCGCAAGACCUCGCGCGAAUGGAGCGGCCGAUGUCAGAUUAGGUAGUUGGUGGGGUAAAGGCUCACCAAGCCAACGAUCUGUAGCUGGUCUGAGAGGACGACCAGCCACACUGGAACUGAGACACGGUCCAGACUCCUACGGGAGGCAGCAGUGGGGAAUUUUGGACAAUGGGCGCAAGCCUGAUCCAGCCAUUCCGCGUGCAGGAUGAAGGCCUUCGGGUUGUAAACUGCUUUUGUACGGUAACGAAACGGCGAGCUCUAAUACAGUUUGCUAAUGACGGUACCGUAAGAAUAAGCACCGGCUAACUACGUGCCAGCAGCCGCGGU